AUGUCCUGUUUACGCUUUUUCAAUUGCCUGUUUUAAUGAGUUAUGUUAUCUAUAUCUUAAAAUAUUCCAAUUCUGAUUCAUCUGAUAGGUGAAGAUGCCUGGUGAGCGAGGGAGAGGACGAGGACGGGUGAGGAGAGGAGGUGGUCGAGGGGCAAGAAGAAUUCUCAACUUUUCACCCACCGCCCAGCCCGAGCCCCAAAGGUGUACCAGUGGAAGCUCCUGCACCACGUCUUUAAGGACCACCUUGUGAUGCUGAACCCGGUGCACCUUUCCCUACAAGUGCACCGUCUGUACGGCCACAUUCGCAUAUGUAUACAAACAGUUCGAGAAUGACGUCUACAGCUCUCACUCUGUCGUCGCCAAGAAGAUUAUGGAGUCGUUUGGCCGUAGGAAGGCAGCUGCGGCGGCGGCCGCCACCGGACAGCCCAUCAAAAUCAACAACGAGAUCACAAUUCACAAUCAUCCCUCACACGGGCUCGGGCAGUGCGGCAAAGGGCUCGUCUCAGGCCAGCUCGACGCCGGUGAAGCGGCGGCGACCGGAGUCGGCGCCGGCUCCCGUGGAGCGUGAGUGCGAGCUGUGCGAGCAUCGCGCGCUGCCGUGGUGCAGCCGCGGCCGCUGACGGAGCACUACCUAGUACCUGCGCCAGGCGCCUGCACCAGGGCCGGCCAGAGCUCGAGUUCACGCCGCUGAUGCGCGACCCCAAGUGCGCAACCUUCGUCACAGAGGAGAUCUGCGAGCAGCUGCGCCGGCGCGCCGCCGCCGAGGACUCCGACAGUGGGGUCGAGGUGGAGGUGAGCGACGCGAAGGACGGCGCGGCCGGCGGCGCCCCGUCCGCCUCCGGUGGCAGCGCGCUCAGCAAGCUCAACGAGGAGACUCACGCCUAUUGCCGCGGCGCGGCCCCGCCGGCUGGUGACCGUCCGGAAACCCAAGCCGUUCAUGGGUGACUGAGUGAAACGAAUGGACGUGCGUGUGCGUUUUUGUUCUGUGUAUGCGUGCGUUUGGAAAUGGCGUCUCU